GGGCGCAUAGCUCAGUUGGUUUAGAGCGCGUCCCUGAUAAGGACGAGGUCCGAGGUUCGAAUCCUCGUGCGCCCA
rnacentral:tRNA from 3 species